UGUUCACCCACUAAUAGGGAACGUGAGUUGGGUUUAGACCGUCGUGAGACAGGUUAGUUUUACCCUACUGAUGAUUUUUAUGAGUUACACAGUUGUGAUAGUAAUUCAACUCAGUACGAGAGGAACCGUUGAUUCGGAUAGUUGGUUCAUGCGGUUGGCUGAGGAGCCAGGGCCGCGACGCUAUCAUCCGUAGGAUUAUGACUGAACGCCUCUAAGUCAGAAUCCAUGCUAGAUUUGCGCAGCUGUACUGUUGCUGGUGGUGGCAUGUAAAAGUGUUGCUGCCAGUGGUUUUUGGUUUCUCUUCGAGAUUUGAUGGUGGCGGUGUGUUGUGUGCAUUGCUGUGGCAACACAGUCGUGUGUGCUCUGCACUGUCAUUUGUUGU